CCUACGGGAGGCAGCAGUGGGGAAUAUUGGACAAUGGGGGGAACCCUGAUCCAGCCAUGCCGCGUGUGUGAAGAAGGCCUUUUGGUUGUAAAGCACUUUAAGCGAGGAGGAGGCUACCGAGAUUAAUACUCUUGGAUAGUGGACGUUACUCGCAGAAUAAGCACCGGCUAACUCUGUGCCAGCAGCCGCGGUAAUACAGAGGGUGCAAGCGUUAAUCGGAUUUACUGGGCGUAAAGCGCGCGUAGGUGGCCAAUUAAGUCAAAUGUGAAAUCCCCGAGCUUAACUUGGGAAUUGCAUUCGAUACUGGUUGGCUAGAGUAUGGGAGAGGAUGGUAGAAUUCCAGGUGUAGCGGUGAAAUGCGUAGAGAUCUGGAGGAAUACCGAUGGCGAAGGCAGCCAUCUGGCCUAAUACUGACACUGAGGUGCGAAAGCAUGGGGAGCAAACAGGAUUAGAUACCCUGGUAGUCCAUGCCGUAAACGAUGUCUACUAGCCGUUGGGGCCUUUGAGGCUUUAGUGGCGCAGCUAACGCGAUAAGUAGACCGCCUGGGGAGUACGGUCGCAAGACUAAAACUCAAAUGAAUUGACGGGG
rnacentral:rRNA from 1 species